GAAACAUAAGUAGGCUGACAAUUAUGAUAGCCGGUCCUGGGAGGAAAUUCUAACAGCAUGAUGCUCCCACUGUCGGAAAGGAUUUUUGUUGUCAUUUGAUUUGGUUUUUUGUUUUACAAAGCAAAGCUACUCACACAAAGAAGUAGAAGGGAAAGAAAAGAGAAUUCUGGUGAUUAAAAAGCAACUAAGCCAAGAAUUGUAAUCACCAUUGAAAAGAAGAUAAAUCAACCCAGCUUCUUUACCCCGUGUGAGGACAGCCCACAAACCAUUUUCAGAAAGCAUGUCUGGAUACCACCUGUGUCUCGCUGUCCAUAUCCAACUGAGGUGCAUGAUUUGUUUUCUUUCUUUUAAAGCUGGAGGAGACAACUGGCUGGAAAGGCACCUUGUUGCAGAUAUUCACUGAAUGGAUCUUUAGCAUUUUAUAUUUAUAUCCUGUCAAUAUGACAGAGUGCUUCCAUAGAGCUUACCAGGUCCUUGGAUUAUUGAGGAAAUGUUGCUAUCCAUCUUACAGCAUUUAA